CUGUGUCACCCAGGCUGGAGUGCAGUGGUGUGAUCUCAGCUCACUGCAACCUCCACCUCCCGGGUUCAAGUGAUUCUCCUGCCUCAGCCUCCCGAGUAGCUGGGAUUAUAGGCGCCUGCCACCACGCCUGGCUAAUUUUUGUAUUUUUUAGUAGAGACGGGGUUUCACCGCCGAGGCAGGCAGAUCACUUGAGGUCAGGAGUUUGACACCAGCCUGGCCAACACAGUAAAACCCUGUCUCUACUAAAAAUACAAAAAUUAGGCAGGCAUAGUGGUGCACGCCUGUAAUCCCAGCUACUCAGGAGGCUGAGGCUGGACAAUCACUCGAACCUGGGAGGUGGAGGUUGCAGUGAGCCAAAAUCGCACCACUGUACUCCAGCCUGGGUGACAGAGUUGAGAAUCCGUCUCUAAAAAAUAAAAAAUAAAAAUAAAAUAGCUGGACAUGGUGGCUUGCACUGGUAAUCCCAGCACUUUGGGAGGCCGUGGUGGAUGGAUCACGAGGUCGGGAGUUCGAGACCAGCCUGGCCAACAUAGUGAAACCCCGUCUCUACUAAAAAUACAAAAAUUAGCCAGGCAUGGUGGCAGGCACCUGUAGUCCCAGCUACUUGGGAGGCUGAGGGAGGAGAAUCGCUUGAACCCAGGAGGCGGAGUUUGCAGUGAGCCAAGAUUGCACCACUACACUCCAGCCUGGGCGACAGAGCGAGACUCCAAAAAAAAAAAAAAAA
rnacentral:lncRNA from 10 species